CACCGCCACACCACCACACCGCCACACCGCCACACGGGCACCCGCUACCAGGGCACCCGCCACACCGCCAGCCGGGCCCCCGCCGCACCCCUGCCCUGCGGCUGCUGUCCGGCCGGCUGAGGUGCGCGAGGGCUCGGCCUGUGGGGCGCACUUCCAGUGGGUUGGAGAGUCCCGGAGCGUGUCCUGCGGAGGGCAACAAAGAUUAAGGGAGUGGAGCAGCUCUUAACAAGGGCAGGUUGAGGGGGCUGGGCCUGCAGAAGAGAUCUCGUCAACUUCAAUAAGUAUCUUAAUGGGGAGUGCCAAGAGGACGUUUCCAGGCUCUUCUUGGUGUUGCCCAGCAGUGGGACAAGAGGCAGCGGACAGAAACUGAUGCACAGAAGUUCCAACUGAACAUGAGGAAGAACUUCUUUACUGUGUGGGUGACAGAGCACGGGAACAGGCUGUCCAGAGAGGGUGUGGAGUGUCCUUCACUAGAGAUACUCAGGAAUGAUCUGGACACAAUCCUGUGCCAUGUGCUGUGGGACGACCCUGCCUGAGCAGGGAGGUCGGACCAGAUCACCCACUUGAGGUCCCUUCCAACCUGACCGAUUCUGUGAUUGUGUGGCUUGGUGGUUGAGUCAAAGAAACGCUGUUUGGAAAACAUUAAGUGGGGUUUAAAAUAAGUUAUUUGAAAUGUGCAGUGAAAUCUUGUGAGAGAUCAGGAAACUAAACCCAUUAGGGAUGAAGACUUAAGGAAGCAAUGACAGUAGCGUGGCUGGUUGUCUGGCUGCAAGAAUUAUUACUGCAGCAGGGAAGCUGGUGUGGUGUAGAAAUUACCCCCAAUUCAAACAGAGUGCAGGAGGGGAGGCUUGCACAAGGUAGCAGCAUUGUCAGGAGGAUGUGGAACACACACUGUCCUACCUCCACUGCCUCCUGGCCUACAGAGAAAAGUGAUCCAGCCUGGCACUUGCAUAAUUAUUUCCAGGAUUUAGCAAAUUUUAACUGCAACGUAAAGAUUCAAAAGAUGUAAUUAAUUAGCAAUAAGUUUUUAUGAAAGUGCAGUGAAGAAGAAAAGCACCUUUAAAGAGUGGUAAGAGGCAUAAGGGUGGGAGAGAGAAAGAAAACUGAAAAUUACACUCAUUAAACAGACAGCAGUCUUGUGUGAAGAAAUCCUGUUCUCUAAUUAUGCUUUCCAAAAAUCAUUUGCCCCCAAAAAAAACAAAAAAGGCCUACAACUCAAAUAGACUGAAAUAGUUUUUCUUGCCCCAUUCCCUAGCAUCCAUGAGAAUGAGACAGCACUGAAGACCUGCCUCUCUGGCAGUUCAGCCUGAUUCCAGGCUGCCAUGAUCUCCUUUUCCACUAUUUUCUCUCAGAUACAACCCACCUUUAUGGUGUAGCAUUAGUUCUGCAGCAGGGCAGUCAGCUGGCUAAAGAUGCUGCUCUGGCUGAAAGCUGACAUACUGUUCUGACUGUUUUGUGCAGGUUUGCAGCUGCACCUGUCACCUGACUUAGUUGGCUCACUGCAUGUCUGCACAAACACCACCACCAGCUCCAGAGGGGGGAGAGGGACUUCCGAAAAAGAAUUAAUAAAAGGGACUGAGUAAAUGCUACUGUCCUCAGUUUUCUACUACAAUAUAAUGGAUUAUUGUAAAUUUUUUGUCUUCUGUUUUAAACUUCAGUGGAUUCCUGAAAGUUUCAAAUCUGAUUACCCAAGAAUCCCUGUUGUCUGUUUUUAAGACUCCAGCCUGUAUAGUUUAAAGAGAAGCUCGAUGACACCAACUCAAAGGCUCAAAGCAACAAAAGCAGUUGACAAAAAGAAUACCAAGUCUGUUAUUUCUGUGGUUAUGUUUCUAAAAUUGCUGCUCUGCUGGCAGGACUGGCAUCACUCUACACAGAGCAGUACAAAUAGAAAAGACGUGGUGGAAAUCCUGUCUCUGCUUACCAACUUGAAUUAAAAAUGUAUCAGCCAGGAAAUUCCCUGCAAACAGCAGAGCAGGCAGACCUUCUGCAGCUGCUGAUCUUAUCAGCUACACAGGUUUCUGCAAAUAGGGCUUUAUCCCUGAAAUUUUCUUUGUGUAGCUUUAAGUACCUGGGUGACUCCACUGAAGACAAUGUGACAGCUCACCUUGGUAACGUUAAGAAGACAUACAAAUAUUGCAGCAUCAGGGCCUGGCAGUGCAGAAACAGUUAAUUUCAGUUAUCUGAUCUCUCCUGCAUCCCCCUGGAGGGAAGUGAGCAAGUGGCUCAUGGGAAUUGGUUGCCAGCUGGGUCUAAACCACAACACUAACCUAGAGUAGCUGAGAACAGCUGUGGAUCCUUGGCUGGAAGAAGUACAAGCUGGUACAAGAUAUGUAAAGAUCACUUUUUCACAAUAGCAAAAACCUCCAGGUACCUCGUGCAGAGCUAAAGUGAAAAAAUGAAUCAUCUGGAGGUCUUACUGCUCAUGUUGUAUUUUUAUUGUAAGACAAUAAGCAACGUUGCUUUUUCUAAUUCGGUAGUUAUUUCACCUAAUUCAGUAGUAUUGUGUAAGGAAAUACAUUGUCAUCUGUUCCUUCUUGAUUGUUGCAAGGUAGCUAAUAAAUUUCUGGUUUGCUGUA